UUUCCCAGUUUUUAUAGGGGAAUAAAAAUGUGCCAUCAGUUAAGUCAAUGGAUGGCGCUUGCUGCCGCUACUGGUCUUAAACGAUGUCUUGAAAUCAGUUUUGAAUAAUAGUUGGAAUCUGGGGAAUCCUCACUCAUUAUCGAAGUAACUUUGCAGUCAACAUAUGUCGGCCAGUUUGUUCAGACAGGAUUUCCUUCACGCUUGAAGGUCGCGGGGAAA